ACGCUGGCGGCGUGCUUAACACAUGCAAGUCGAACGGAAAGGCCCUGCUUUUGUGGGGUGCUCGAGUGGCGAACGGGUGAGUAACACGUGAGUAACCUGCCCUUGACUUUGGGAUAACUUCAGGAAACUGGGGCUAAUACCGGAUAGGAGCUCCUGCUGCAUGGUGGGGGUUGGAAAGUUUCGGCGGUUGGGGAUGGACUCGCGGCUUAUCAGCUUGUUGGUGGGGUAGUGGCUUACCAAGGCUUUGACGGGUAGCCGGCCUGAGAGGGUGACCGGCCACAUUGGGACUGAGAUACGGCCCAGACUCCUACGGGAGGCAGCAGUGGGGAAUAUUGCACAAUGGGCGGAAGCCUGAUGCAGCAACGCCGCGUGCGGGAUGACGGCCUUCGGGUUGUAAACCGCUUUCGCCUGUGACGAAGCGUGAGUGACGGUAAUGGGUAAAGAAGCACCGGCUAACUACGUGCCAGCAGCCGCGGUGAUACGUAGGGUGCGAGCGUUGUCCGGAUUUAUUGGGCGUAAAGGGCUCGUAGGUGGUUGAUCGCGUCGGAAGUGUAAUCUUGGGGCUUAACCCUGAGCGUGCUUUCGAUACGGGUUGACUUGAGGAAGGUAGGGGAGAAUGGAAUUCCUGGUGGAGCGGUGGAAUGCGCAGAUAUCAGGAGGAACACCAGUGGCGAAGGCGGUUCUCUGGGCCUUUCCUGACGCUGAGGAGCGAAAGCGUGGGGAGCGAACAGGCUUAGAUACCCUGGUAGUCCACGCUGUAAACGGUGGGUACUAGGUGUGGGGUCCAUUCCACGGGUUCCGUGCCGUAGCUAACGCUUUAAGUACCCCGCCUGGGGAGUACGGCCGCAAGGCUAAAACUCAAAGGAAUUGACGGGGCCCCGCACAAGCGGCGGAGCAUGCGGAUUAAUUCGAUGCAACGCGUAGAACCUUACCUGGGUUUGACAUGGAUCGGGAGCGCUCAGAGAUGGGUGUGCCUCUUUUGGGGUCGGUUCACAGGUGGUGCAUGGCUGUCGUCAGCUCGUGUCGUGAGAUGUUGGGUUAAGUCCCGCAACGAGCGCAACCCUUGUUCACUGUUGCCAGCACGUUAUGGUGGGGACUCAGUGGAGACCGCCGGGGUCAACUCGGAGGAAGGUGGGGAUGACGUCAAGUCAUCAUGCCCCUUAUGUCCAGGGCUUCACGCAUGCUACAAUGGCUGGUACAGAGAGUGGCGAGCCUGUGAGGGUGAGCGAAUCUCGGAAAGCCGGUCUCAGUUCGGAUUGGGGUCUGCAACUCGACCUCAUGAAGUCGGAGUCGCUAGUAAUCGCAGAUCAGCAACGCUGCGGUGAAUACGUUCCCGGGGCUUGUACACACCGCCCGUCAAGUCAUGAAAGUUGGUAACACCCGAAGCCGGUGGCCUAACCGUUGUGGGGGAGCCGUCGAAGGUGGGACUGGUGAUUAGGACUAAG
rnacentral:rRNA from 1 species